rnacentral:rRNA from 1 species
CUAGGAUUAGAUACCCUGUUAUUAAUGGGUUAAAUAUUGUGAGUAAGUGAAUUAAUGGAAACAAAAAAAUAUGGCGGUACUUUAAGCUUAUCAGAGGAAUUUGCUCUGUAAUGGAUAAAACACCUGAAUCUUACUAAAGUUAGUUAAAUCAGCUUGUAUACCACUAUAAGAGUAAUAAUUUAUUAUUAUUUCUAUAAUUUUUUCAUAAAAAAAUAAAUUAAGUCAUGGUGCAGCAAAAAUUUUAGAAUGAAGUGAAUUACAUUUCUUUUAAGAAUAAAAAAUUGAAAAAUUAUAUUAGGAUUUGAAAGUAAAUAAAUAAUAACAUGAUUUAUUGAAUUUAGCUCUAAAGUAUGUACACAUCGCCCGUCGCUCU